rnacentral:lncRNA from 1 species
GCUUCCCCAGGUCGCGGCGGCGGGAGCAACAAGCAGCGGCUCGUGAGUCCGCGGCUCGCACCCAGGGGCGCCCGCACGUGCGGCUAGAACGUCCGAGUCGGGGUCCGGGGCGGGGGGCGCAGGCCCGCGGCGGUAGGGGAGGAGAGCGGGCACCCGAGUCUCCAUCCUCAGGGUGGCCUGAAGGUUCCAGGAGGGCGUCCGGCGAAGGCACGGGGCUGCGACCAUCCAGUUAGCAGGGCUGGUGUGACUGUUGAGAGUAAAUGAAAAUUCGUUUUGUGACACCGACCACCUCCAAGGAAUGAAAGGAGCAGUCAGCCGAAACGACAGCAUUACUUGCGUCCUUACCUAAUUGGAACCUUAUCCGUGGCUGAGGGUGCCACCAUUGGAGGGGCCGCCGCCCCCUCUGACACCACCUGGCGCUCCGCUCCAUUUAGGAGCUAGAACGAAAAGGAGGCCCAUCCCCCAGUAAGUCACAGCCCACGCCAAGAUGAGUUCUGGAGCCUGUGCGACCGAAGUUUCUUCACCGCAGGGCGAGGUGGACAAGGGUGUGAGUUACUUUGACUUCAAGACGUCUCAGUGGCGGCUGGUUCUGGAGAGAGGCUUUAUGCUGGAGCACUUCCAGCAAAGUUCGGCUGGGGCCUCCUUAACUCACUGGCUGGUCACCCUUGGCCUCGGUUUUCAACCAAAGCCUAAGGCCUCAGUUUUCAACGCUGUAAAUGGAAAUAAAUGAGAGAAGAAAGUACAGCCCGUGUGACAAGUGCAGCAAGCAAUGCAACUUCCUUGGGACCUACCCUUUGUGGUCCCUUGCUUUAAAAGUAUAGAUUCACAUUUAGUUAGACCUGUUUCUUCCUCGCAUGCAAUUUCACCAGUCUUUUCCCAGACUUCUGUACUCAACAGAGGAAGUUCCUUCCUGGGAGACCAUAGCUGUUUGUAUGUAAAGAGUUGCGAAAAAACAAAAGCAAAACAAAAAACUCCAACACCUCUCUGUCACAGAAGUAUUGAAUUAUAUAGACUGGAAAAAUGGAAGUAUCCAAGAAAACGCGUGUGGUAAGAAAAUGGCUAAGAAGAAACUGUUAGAGCACCCUGGGAUGUGUGGGCCUGGGACUGUUUGCCUUUGGCACGGCUAUGCUCCGAGCUUUGGAGGAGCCAAGGAAGAAAGGCCUAGUUCCUGAUCUUAAGGCCUUUGCAGUGUGCAUUGGGAGACAUAGACUGCAAUGAAAAGAUCAUUAUUGCAAGAGACAAAUGGCAUGGAGCCACAUUCCCAGGUAACAUUUUAGUACAUUCAUCUAUGUAUUCAUUCAAAAUCAUUGACUGUAUAGUAUUAUAUAGUAUAGGGCUUCCCAGCUUCAUAGUUUAAUUAUCUUUCUUUUAAUCUCUUUCAUUAAUAUAUUUUAAAUGUUUUUCUAAAAUAAAUAAUACAUAAUUAUAGUAGAACAUUAGAGCACUACAGACUUAUUUGUAGUGACAAAAUCACUAGGAAAAACUUGAAUGUCUGUUUAUAACUAAGUGAUUGAAUUAACUGUGGUUGAUCCACUCUCUGGAAUGUUAUGUACCAACAAAAAUGAACAAAUUGAGAAUAUCUGUUGACUGGGUGCAGUGGCUCACACCUGUAAUCCCAGCACUUUGGGAGGCCAAGCUGGGUGGACGGCUUGAGCUCAGGAGUUUGAGACCAGCCUGGGCAACUUGGUGAAAUCCCGUCUCUACAAAAAUACAAAAAAAAAAAAAAAAAAAAAAAAAUUAGCUGUGUUGAUGGCAUGCACCUGUAGUCCCAACUAUUUAGGAGGCUGAACUGGGGGGAUCACUUGAACCCGGGAAACAGAGGUUGCAGUAAGCCAAGAGUGCACCAAUGCACUUCGGCUUAUGCGACAGAGUGAGAUCUUGUCUCAAAAAGAAAAAAAAAAUCUGUCGAUCUAGAAAGAGGACAGGAUGUAUUGUAGAAUGAAAGUCAAGGUGCAAAGAAAUGUUCAUAUUAUAAUCUCCUUUUUGCAAAGGCAACAGUGACACCCCCCAAAAAGUUUGAAUUAAAAAAAGAUAGAAAGGUGGACAUGCCAAGCUAUUAAUAUUGGUUACCUUGACGACAGGUCGGUUAUUAAUU